CCCAAGCUUGUGGGAAAGGUGACUGCUGUUCCCCCUUUAAAGGCAUUCCAACCUGCUUCAGGACCCAAACCACUCAUAGUUCCUUCCACGUUCCGAAAAUGACGCUUGCAGGAUUCAUUUUUAAAGACUUCAGCCAGCCUAUUUGCACUAAAUAAGCACCCUUGGCGACUGGUACUAUAAUGAGCUGUCUCACAAGGGAUGGAAGAGCAUGGUGCUAGGGCCGUGGAUGAGGCCUCGCAAACCGGCAUACAAAUACAGCCGGGCACAGCAGAGAUGACGCGGUUUUGCAUGAAAACAUGCAGACUGAGAAAGUUUUGGAUAGACCAUCACAUUGCCAAACCCUUGACUUUUUAUCACCUUGCUAAUUUUUUUGUACUUAUUUGUUGUUGUACUAUAAUGUCAUGCCUCUGUCUUGUUUACAUUUUUAUCACCUUGCCAUUUUUUUUUUUACUAUUUUGUUUUGUUUUAAUGUCAUGCCUCUGUCUUGUUUACAAUUUUGUUUGACUAUCAUCUAUUUGUCAAGUGCCAAAGAUGUUGUUUUAAUGCCUUGUUUAGUUUGUUGUACUGUGCUGUAUGUGAUUUUGUGUUUGGUACAUAAAACAUGUUAUACCUUUUUAGUAGACACCAUGUUCUUUGGUCGUCCUCGCUUUAUGGCAGACUUUACAUCAGGUCUAAUUCUUUAUAUCAGGUCAAAAUCAAUGGAGAUUUGAGUUCUACAUGAGAAUAAUGAAAACGUGAUUAAAAAAAAAAUUGAUAAAUUGUGUAAUUUCUGUGUGAAACCAAUGCAAAAACAACAACAAAGAAGUUAUCAAAACAUUCCGAAGUAUAUCUAAAUGGUAGUGGUAUUUUUGUUUCCCAAUGAUGCCUAAAUGAGGAAUAAGAAUAUUUAAAAAUGACUUAAAAAUGGUUUCCUGAACAAAGACCACUAUGAAAAAUAAAGUAGUACUAUGAAAAAGUAGUUAGUCACUAAAGACUAAUUUAGUGUAGAAUUAGUCCAUAAACGUGUCUCUGCACUAGAGCUUAAGAUUUUGUUCAAAUUUCUACCACAUGACCCCACCUGCAUGAAACAGUGGCUCUCUGCAGCUGAAUCUCAAACCCUCGGGAGGUUUCUGUUUGUUUGCAGCUCUUUACACACAGUGAGACCUGCCUCACCCCCUCAUGUGGACCGAUAAAGCUCCACUGACAGCUGCAGCUGGUACAUUUAAAAGCAGGGAGGAACUGAAACUCUGCUGUCAGCAGAAACCCUCAUCGCUCUAAACUGACAAGCAGCCUUUCGGCUUCAAUUUUUGUUUUUACUUGAAAUGAAUCCUGCACAGUGUCGUGGCCAUAUUCAGUCUGCUGAGCAGGCACUUCUCACGCUGUGCUCGUGUGCAUUGCAUUGUAUUGGUUUAAAUUAAAUUUAGUUUCUCACUCUCCUACAUGCCCCGAGUCCAUCCUUCUCAUGUUUAUGGGAGAUGGUGUGUGAUUAAUUAUGUAGGAAAAGGUAAAGGAGCUGUUAAGUUGGGAGAGGAAAUCAAGCAGUGUAGUAGACUGAAUCACCCCCAGCUCUUAAUAUCAGCACCUAUUCACUCUUUAAUAAAAGAGGACACUCAAAAUGCUCCUGCAGUCAGUGUGACUUACUGUCACAAAUAUAAAA
rnacentral:lncRNA from 1 species